CAAAAGAAGGAUGAACAGUGAACACGGAUGAACAAUGAAAUAGUUUUGGAACUUGUGGGACUUGUUCUCUACACUUCAAAGCUUGGUCCUUGGAUGGGCAGCCCCCCGAGCUCGAGUCUUGAUGCAUUGGACCCCGAUCAUGAUCAUAACUGUAUCAUCCUCCCCUACUUAGAAAGUAUUCGUCCUCAAAUCCGAACCUUGCAAGGCAAUAGGAAGGACAAGCAAACAAAAGUUCCUCAAGGUAUGAGGGUUAGGAUUAGUGUAAUCAAUCAUAGCAUCUUGCCAAGGUGGCUCAAACUUCACAUAUACCCAAACAUCCCUCUUACCCGAAUACCCUACCAAGGGAGAAUCAACUAAUUUAUCCACAU
rnacentral:lncRNA from 1 species